rnacentral:rRNA from 1 species
UGAGGAAUAUUGGUCAAUGGGCGAGAGCCUGAACCAGCCAAGUAGCGUGCAGGAUGACGGCCCUAUGGGUUGUAAACUGCUUUUAUCCGGGAAUAAAGUGAGGCACGUGUCCCUUUUUGUAUGUACCUGAUGAAUAAGGACCGGCUAAUUCCGUG